AUUGAACGCUGGCGGAAUGCUUUACACAUGCAAGUCGAACGGCAGCACGGGGCAACCUGGUGGCGAGUGGCGAACGGGUGAGUAAUACAUCGGAACGUGCCCAAUCGUGGGGGAUAACGUAGCGAAAGUUACGCUAAUACCGCAUACGAUCUACGGAUGAAAGCGGGGGAUCGCAAGACCUCGCGCGAUUGGAGCGGCCGAUGUCAGAUUAGGUAGUUGGUGGGGUAAAGGCUCACCAAGCCGACGAUCUGUAGCUGGUCUGAGAGGACGACCAGCCACACUGGGACUGAGACACGGCCCAGACUCCUACGGGAGGCAGCAGUGGGGAAUUUUUGGACAAUGGGCGCAAGCCUGAUCCAGCCAUGCCGCGUGAGUGAAGAAGGCCU
rnacentral:rRNA from 1 species